AAGUCGUAACAAGGUUUCCGUAGGUGAACCUGCGGAAGGAUCAUUAUUGAAUUACAAGGGCUUGAUGCUGGCUUCUGCAAGGAAGCAUGUGCUCAGCCCUCUUAUCCAAACAACCCCCUGUGCACUUACCUAUUGAUGAAGAUGCAGUCUCCCCGAUUUUCCGGGAGCAACUGGGCUUUGCAGCCUGGUUGAGAUUGUAUUCUUUGUCAAAACACUAUAAACCCCUGUUUUUGUAUUGUUGAAUGUCAUCUUUUAAUGAAAUACAACUUUCAACAACGGAUCUCUUGGCUCUC
rnacentral:misc_RNA from 1 species